rnacentral:tRNA from 2 species
GGGGGUGUGGCUCAGUUGGUAGAGCGCUUGUCUAGCAUGCAUGGAGCCCUGGGUUUGAGUCCCAGCACUUCAU